AAAAAAUUCCCUGAGGAUGAUGCAAAUAAGCAACUCCAAAUUUCCCAUCGAUCUAAUAUUGGAUUGAUUUGAGGGUUUGGAGGAGCAUGACAGGUGUGCCUCUUUUAUAUUUUGCUUUGGAAAAUUUGGGGUGCCCGCAUAGAUCUGCUGUGGAUGUCUGCUGUACUGCUAGGGUACUAUUUGACGAGUUGAGGAAUAAUGCCACUUCAAGUUCUGUUGCUUUUCCUAGACCUGGGCAGCAGUAGGUUGCACCUCCUACUGGUUUUUUCAAACUGAACUUGGAUGCAUUAGUUGUCAAAGAGGUUGGUAAGUGUGGCCUUGUAGCCGUUCUUCGUGAUUCAUCUGGCGCGAUUCUAAUUGGUGUUGGUCGAAGUCUUUCUUCUGUAUUUGAAGUUCAAAUGGCUGAGAAUCUUGCUGUGUUAAUGGGUGUUUCAGCUGCAGCAGAGCAGGGCUCUAUGGUUCUUGAGGUGGAGAUAGAUUCCCAGCUGUUGGCCUCGUGGUUGUAGGCGGAUGAGCAGCUUGAUCCUCUUGGCUUGGUAGUUUUAUUGCGUUUCCAGCAUGUUUCAGUUCGCUAGCUCCCCGUAUAGUUGCAACAAGGUAGCUCAUGCUAUGGCUGCUCAUUCUCUUUCUUUUCAGUCUGUUGUUUUGUUUGAAGAGGCUUUUCCUUUGUCUGUUGUUGAACUUGGUUUUGCUGAUUUUUAACUUCCAAUGAAUUCCAUUUCCA
rnacentral:misc_RNA from 1 species